UACGUAGGGUGCGAGCGUUAAUCGGAAUUACUGGGCGUAAAGCGUGCGCAGGCGGUUUUGUAAGUCAGAUGUGAAAUCCCCGGGCUUAACCUGGGAACUGCGUUUGAAACUACAAGGCUAGAGUGUGGCAGAGGGGGGUGGAAUUCCACGUGUAGCAGUGAAAUGCGUAGAGAUGUGGAGGAACACCGACGGCGAAGGCAGCCCCCUGGGUUAACACUGACGCUCAGGCACGAAAGCGUGGGGAGCAAACAGG
rnacentral:rRNA from 1 species